rnacentral:rRNA from 1 species
UGGGGAAUAUUGGACAAUGGGGGCAACCCUGAUCCAGCAAUGCCGCGUGUGUGAAGAAGGUCUUCGGAUUGUAAAGCACUUUCGACGGGGACGAUGAUGACGGUACCCGUAGAGGAAGCCCCGGCUAACUUCGUGCCAGCAGCCGCGGUAAUACGAAGGGGGCUAGCGUUGCUCGGAAUGACUGGGCGUAAAGGGCGUGUAGGCGGUUUACACAGUCAGAUGUGAAAUCCCCGGGCUUAACCUGGGAGCUGCAUUUGAUACGUGUAGACUAGAGUGUGAGAGAGGGUUGUGGAAUUCCCAGUGUAGAGGCGAAAUUCGUAGAUAUUGGGAAGAACACCGGUGACGAAGGCGGCAACCUGGCUCAUGACUGACGCUGAGGCGCGAAAGCGUGGGGAGCGAACAGGAUUAGAUACCCUGGUAGUCCACGCUGUAAACGAUGUGUGCUAGAUGUUGGGUAACUUUGUUAUUCAGUGUCGCAGUUAACG